AUUGAACGCUGGCGGCAUGCCUUACACAUGCAAGUCGAACGGUAGCGGGCCUUCGGGUGCCGACGAGUGGCGAACGGGUGAGUAAUGUAUCGGAACGUACCUUUCAGUGGGGGAUAACGUAGCGAAAGUUGCGCUAAUACCGCAUAUUCUGUGAGCAGGAAAGCAGGGGAUCGCAAGACCUUGCGCUGAUUGAGCGGCCGAUAUCAGAUUAGCUAGUGGGUGAGGUAAAGGCUCACCAAGGCGACGAUCUGUAGCGGGUCUGAGAGGAUGAUCCGCCACACUGGGACUGAGACACGGCCCAGACUCCUACGGGAGGCAGCAGUGGGGAAUAUUGGACAAUGGGGGGAACCCUGAUCCAGCCAUGCCGCGUGAGUGAAGAAGGCCUUCGGGUUGUAAAGCUCUUUCGGCCGGGAAGAAAUCGUAUCAGCUAAUACCUGGUGCGGAUGACGGUACCGGCAUAAGAAGCACCGGCUAACUACGUGCCAGCCGCCGCAGUAAAAC
rnacentral:rRNA from 1 species